UACGUAGGGGGCAAGCGUUAUCCGGAUUUACUGGGUGUAAAGGGAGCGUAGACGGCAGAUCAAGUCUGGAGUGAAAUCCCGGGGCUCAACCCCGGAGCUGCUCUGGAAACUGAGAAGCUAGAGUACUGGAGAGGCAGGCGGAAUUCCUAGUGUAGCGGUGAAAUGCGUAGAUAUUAGGAGGAACACCAGUGGCGAAGGCGGCCUGCUGGACAGCGACUGACGUUGAGGCUCGAAAGCGUGGGGAGCAAACAGG
rnacentral:rRNA from 1 species